CAUCAGACAGCCAGUGAUACAAUCACAGAUCCAUGGAGAGAAGAUGCUCAGAGUCCUGGAGAAAGCAGGACAGGGGAUCCCGAGCUUGUGAGGACAUUAAAAAUGACAGAUCCCGUCUGUGAGGAGGUAUAUUCAACAUUUCUCAAAUAAGAGAAGAGAAUCAAAGAGAUGUCCAUCUGGUAAGAUGAGCAGUGACUGAAAAUGGAGACAGGCAAAAAUGGUUCCUUGGCUUCUCUCCGACGCUAGAUCAGGCUUCCAUGAACCAGUGAACUUCCAUCGCCAGAGACCCUUGCUAGUCCCACGCUGCAAAGAUAAGCAGGAUGGCUGACAUUCCUGCUACAAGACAGCCAUGAGAGAUCUGGCAGUGGGAAAGGAAGACAGGGUGAUGGCACUCAAGAAGGAGUUGACAGUCAAGAAGCAGGAAUCCUAAGAAACAAGUACUAAUGCACAGAUCCUGAUGCUAAAGAAAAUCUAGUGCAGUCUGAAGAUGGUAAUUAGAGAUAAAAAGAAAGGAACUUGGAGAAGGCUAUUUUUCCAUUCCUGGGUGAUGACCUUUGCUCUCCACUGAAAGGACACAGAAGCACAGCUCCUGGCAGUGAUUAAGCUUCUACAACUUUAAAAAACAGAUCCACGGACAACAUACACAUCGCAGUAUUUCAUCGUGGCAGCCCUCGCAGACUAAUAUGAAAGUUGCUAAAGGCUUGUGUUGCCGGCUUUGCUGA